rnacentral:rRNA from 1 species
CCCCCCCCCCAUAAGAGGUCCAGCCUGCCCAGUGACUCAGUUCAACGGCCGCGGUAACCUAACCGUGCGAAGGUAGCGUAAUCACUUGUCUUCUAAAUAAAGACUAGUAUGAAAGGCAUCACGAGAACUCAACUGUCUCCUUUUUUCAAUCAGUGAACCUAAUCUCCCCGUGAAAAAGCGGGAAUUUACAAAUUAGACGAGAAGACCCUAUGAAGCUUUAAACACUAAUCAAUUGCUAACAUUACCAACCCCUGGCCCCAAAUUUAUGCACCGUGAUUACAUGUUUUUGGUUGGGGUGACCGCGGAAAAUAACCUAACCUCCACAAUGAAAACCCUCAAGCCACAACUUUAAGUAUCAACAAAUUGACAUCCAUUGACCCAAUAUAUUUGAUUAAUGAAC